rnacentral:rRNA from 1 species
CCUACGGGAGGCAGCAGUAGGGAAUUUUGCGCAAUGCCCGAAAGGGUGACGCAGCAACGCCGCGUGGGGGAUGAAGCUUCUUGGAGCGUAAACCCCUGUCAGUUGGGACGAAAUGCCUGUUCUCUAAUAUAGUUCAGGUUUGACGGUACCUUCAGAGGAAGCUCCGGCCAACUCCGUGCCAGCAGCCGCGGUAACACGGGGGGAGCAAGCGUUGUUCGGAAUCACUGGGCGUAAAGGGUACGUAGGUGGGAAGACAGGUCAGAUGUGAAACCUCAGGGCUUAACCCUGAGCCUGCAUCUGAAACCAUUUUUCUUGAGUAUUGGAGAGGAAAGCGGAACUCCUGGUGUAGCGGUGAAAUGCGUAGAUAUCAGGAGGAACACCGGUGGCGAAGGCGGCUUUCUGGCCAAAUACUGACACUAAUGUACGAAGGCCGGGGGAGCAAACAGGAUUAGAUACCCUGGUAGUCCCGGCGGUAAACGAUGGGUACUAGGUGAUGGAGGAGUCGACCCCUUCAGUGCCGCAGCUAACGCAUUAAGUACCCCGCCUGGGGAGUACGACCGCAAGGUUGAAACUCAAAUGAAUUGACGGA